GCCGGGCGUGGUGGCACACACCUGUAAUCCCAGCAGCUCUGGAGGCUGAGGCCGGAGAAUCGCAAGUUCAAAUUCAGCCUCAGUAACUUAGUGAGGUGCUAAGCAACUCAGUGAGACCCUGGCUCUA
rnacentral:sRNA from 1 species